GUGCAGAUUGAACAAAAACUCCUGAUUUGUUUUACUGGUUUACCUUAUUUUCUAAACUAAAUUGCUGCAGGGAGAUUCGAUCUUGGAACUUACAAAGGUCCUAAGAUUUCAGAACAUUGAAAGGAUGUAAAGUGAGGAGUCGAGAAAGCUGUCAUACUACAGAGAACUUUGGUGAAGAUCAAAUCAAUGGACAGAGGGGAAGCAAGAUGAGCUACACGUUUCUUUAGGGCAAGAAUGGUAUUUGGUGGCAAGACAACUUCCCAGUCUCACGGUAUGGUUAGGUCAGAAGUACCCGGAAAAGACACCCAAAGAUUUGGCUACAGUUAUGGAUGAAAGAGAACUCUUCAUCAUACAGACUUCACCUUAUUCACUGUAAGAUACGGUACGGCUUGUUAUAAUCCCUUUUUAGUGGUUUCCCUUUAUAAAAUUUCACUUUUUAGCUCUGGAAAAACAAGGUUUCUAAAUUUAGGGCCCUUGUUCCAAGUGCCUAAGCGGUUCUAGUAUUGUCACCAGCAGAAGGUAAUGUGUUUGAAAACAAAAAAACCCAGGAUUGUUUUUAUAUCAAAUCCACUGGGAUCUCACCUGUUGAUUGCCCACUCUCUGUAAGUUCUCAUGAAGGGAUGUGUUCAGUUUCACUCAGCAUAGUAUCUUCAGGUCAGCAAUGCCUCAUGCGGAAGCAGCUCUAAUACAAAUUACCCAUCCAAUCUCAGGCUGGCCCUGAAAAAUUGCAUAACACUAAAUGCAUUCUUCCUGGCUUCCUAAAUCAAGAUAAUCACUUGCAUACAGUGUUCUUACUUUUUGCAGUAAACAUUAAUGUCCCGAACAGUGUCGGCAGCAAGGUUUAUGUUUUUACGUCAGAAAACUAAAUCACAAACUCCCAUAGAAAACGUACUCUUUUCAGAGAACCCAGGAUUUAUGUCCCCCCAACUCAAGGUAUUCCUUGUUUUAGAAAGGUAAAAUAUGGCUAUAGAAAACUGGUUCCAGGGACUUCCCUGGCAGUCCAGUGGUUAAGAUUCCGUAUGGGUUCAAUCCCUGGUUGGGGAACUAAGAUUCUGCAUGCCAAACAAAACAAAACAAAACAAAACAAAACAGGUUCCAAAUGAUCACCACUUCAACUCACUCUCCCACCGCCAUCAAGUAAGAGCAGCAAACAAAGACACAUGAUUAUGAGCAAAUCCAAAUUUAUUUUAACGCCAUGUCAUUUUCAAUGUGUUUAAAAACCUUGUAAGUUAGCGGGAGCCCUAGUUCCCUGGGACAGCAUGCCAGAGGUACUGAAAUUCGUCAACUUUCUCUCCAAACCCCUAGCAAUUCAUCCAAGUCCACAGCUUCAGAAAGCCAGGAGUUUUGUCUCUUCAAUCAGUCUGCUCCUCUGGUUCCAGGUCUUUCUUUCAAGAAAGGGAGGUCAAAAUAUUUCAUACAGGGAACAAAACCACAGUGGAGCUUCCGACUCAGGUUUCUAAGAUAGAGCAAGGGAGGAAUCCCACUGACUCCAAAGAAAUGGACAUGGUUGAGAUGGAUUACUUCUUUACAGCCUUGUGGAGGGGGAAAAAAAUGUCCUGCAGAACAAAAUUGACUACAAAGAUUUACAAAUGAGGAUCCAUUUGAUAGAUGAGAAUCCC